UACGUAGGGCGCAAGCGUUAUCCGGAAUUAUUGGGCGUAAAGAGCUCGUAGGCGGUUUGUCGCGUCUGCCGUGAAAGUCCGGGGCUCAACUCCGGAUCUGCGGUGGGUACGGGCAGACUAGAGUGAUGUAGGGGGAGACUGGAAUUCCUGGUGUAGCGGUGAAAUGCGCAGAUAUCAGGAGGAACACCGAUGGCGAAGGCAGGUCUCUGGGCCACUACUGACGCUGAGAAGCGAAAGCAUGGGGAGCGAACAGG
rnacentral:rRNA from 1 species